rnacentral:sRNA from 1 species
AUAUAAGGUUCAAAGGCUAAAUACGCCGCGUCAUGCGGCAACGCCUCUGUGACCUGCGUCGUGCAGG